UACGGAGGGUGCAAGCGUUAUCCGGAUUCACUGGGUUUAAAGGGUGCGUAGGUGGGCUAGUAAGUCCGUGGUGAAAUCUCCAAGCUUAACUUGGAAACUGCCGUGGAUACUAUUAGUCUUGAAUCUCGUGGAGGUAAGCGGAAUAUGUCAUGUAGCGGUGAAAUGCUUAGAUAUGACAUAGAACACCGAUAGCGAAGGCAGCUUGCUACACGAGUAUUGACACUGAGGCACGAAAAGCGUGGGGAUCAAACAGGAGUUAGAAUACCCCCGGUAGUCCCGACAACAUGU
rnacentral:rRNA from 1 species